rnacentral:rRNA from 1 species
AUCAACGCUGGCGGCGUGCCUAACACAUGCAAGUCGCACGAGAAAGGGGAGCAAUCCCUGAGUACAGUGGCGCACGGGUGAGUAACACGUGACUAACCUACCCUCGAGUGGGGAAUAACCUAGGGAAACCUGGGCUAAUACCGCAUAACACUUACGAGUCAAAGCAGCAAUGCGCUUGGGGAGGGGUCGCGGCCGAUUAGCUAGUUGGCGGGUAAUGGCCCACCAAGGCAAUGAUCGGUAUCCGGCCUGAGAGGGCGCACGGACACACUGGAACUGAAACACGGUCCAGACUCCUACGGGAGGCAGCAGUGGGGAAUUUGCGCAAUGGGGGAAACCCUGACGCAGCAACGCCGCGUGGAGGAUGAAGUCUCUUGGGACGUAAACUCCUUUCGAUCGGGAAGAUAA